rnacentral:lncRNA from 1 species
AUGUAUUUGACUUUCUGUCCUUGUUCCUUGUCCCAUCUGGAGCAUUUCCAGUUCUGCUUUUGCGGAGCAGCAGGUCUGAGCUUGUCCGGCGAGGGUGGGAGUUGGUCCCGGCGGAGAUCCAGUGGGAAGAGCCGACGGCUGCCCGGGCGUCUCUUCUUUGAGCCUCCAGUGGACUCACAACACUCUGAGGCAUGUUGCUCUUUCAAAUACCAGGAAUGGACUCUGGGGAAUGGGGCACCCUUGAAGUCUGAUUAUUUCUUCCCUGUAGAGCCCCAGGGGCUAAUUAAACUCGUGUUUAUGGACUCCAGUGCCUCCUUGCCUUUAAUUCAGUAUAAUCCUACCAACAUUUAUUGAGCUUCUCUGGGCCAGGUAGAGUUCUGGGUGCCGAGGACAUAGAAAUGGAUCUAAACUUGGUUCUUAUCCCCAUAACCUCACAAUAUGGUUGAGGAAGACUCAGCAGUUACCUACACAGGUAAUUUCGAGUCAAGGUAGCUUAGACAAGAUCCACUGACAGCCUGCCUGGGGGAAGCCUGUGGGCCAUGGUGGGGCAGUUAUGACACCAUGGGUUCUUUUUGUUUAUUUGUUUGUUUGUUUUGUAUCUUCUUUUAGUAUGCCCAGGUAACUUGCAGAACCCAAUCGUUCUUUCUUACUAUAGAUCGGUGAGGUGAAAAGCACUAUCAUUAUUGGAAUGCCCUGUAUCUCCAUUAUACUCUCCUCCUGUCAUCUUCCCUCAGAAGACUUGACACCCCACCCUGGUGCCCUUUCUCUGUACUUUCAUAUGCUCAGCGGCUGUCUUUGCACUUGCUUCAGGAUUGUACCUAACAUUCUGUACUGUAAUGCAUUUUCUUCAGACACUCUUCAGUCAAGUUGUAUUACAAUUACCUGGGUUAAAAUACAUGCAAAGUAAAUAGAGAAAACCCCCAGGGGUUCAUUCCCUAGAGAUAACCAAAGAUUUCAGUGUAAUGUUUUUCCCCCCACAUUUGUGCUCUCAGAUGCAGUCUUUUACAUAUUUUUUUUAAAAAAACACUCAUUUUUGUUUUCUAGUUUGCAAAAUAUUUCAUUUUUAAAAAUUGUGUUUAUUUACAACCUGCUUUUUUCUAAAAAAGAUUCAAGGUGGGGCCUUUUUUCUUUUUUUUUGAGGUGAGAUCUUGCUUGUUGCUCGGGCUGGAGUGCAGUGGUGAUCAUAGCUCACUUCAGCCUCUAACUCUGGGCACAGGCAAUCAUCUCACAUCAGCCUCUGGAGCAGCUGGAACUACAGGUGCGCACCACCACACCCAGCUGCUUUUUUAUUUAUUUAUUUUUUUUGAGACAGAGUCUCACUCUGUCGCCCAGGCUGGAGUGCAGUGGUUCUAUCUCUGUUCGCUGCAGCCUCUGCCUCCUGGGUUCAAGUGAUUCUCCUUUGAAAAUUGCUUGCUUUUCUACACUUGUUCUGUAUUUAUGUUCCUUUGAUGGUCUCCACUUCUAGUCACUUUCUUUUUUUGAUGAUUUAGGUUUUUGGCCCAAAUAGAUAAACAUCUUCUACAUUAUUUUUCUCUUAUUCUCGAUACUGGGUUGCCAUCUUUGUUGAUUUAGUACUUGUUUUGAAAGAGAGAAGCUACACACCACUUGAUACCACUUUCGUCUGCAUACUCAAGAUAAUUUGUAUCUUCUGCAGUGAGCUCUUCAGUUGAAGAAGUGAAUCAUUUAUAUGUAUAUUUAUAUACUUUAAAAAUGUAAUUGAAAAAUCCUCUCAUAGUUACUUACUCCAAGGUUUAAAAUGUUUCCCAGGGUAAUGAGUUUCUUUAGUCAUGUGACUUUAGUAAUGGGAACCAAAGCUACCUUUCCUACUUGUGAAAUUCUUGAGUUUUCUCCUUGAACUUCCUUUGUAUCUUCCCUUUGGCUUAUAUAUCUGUGUUUUUUGUUUGUUUUUACUUGCAGCUUUCAAAAGUAGUUUUCAAAGUCAAUGAGAUUGUUUAAAAGAGUAGGUACCUGACAGUCUCUUGCUUGAAUACUAUCUGGUGAGUAAACCAAAUUCCCUGCAACAAUAACCACAACUUGGAAUCAAGAGUUAAAUGAAAAAAGUAACUCCUUCACCAUUUACUGAGCACCUGCUGGGGCUAAGGAAUGGGAGCACGUAGAUCUCUCUCUGCUAUCUGGAGCUCCCUUUCUGGUUGGAAAACAUAGAAGCAGCACAAAAGUUUCGCUCAAAACCUUGGCCAUGGUAUGCUAUUGAAAUCCCAUAGUUCAGAUUUUAUACGUGACUUGAGUUCUAUUCUAAGCCAUGGCUGGAUUAUUUUAAUCUGGCAAAUAAUCAUAAGGCGGGAUUAUUUUAAUCUGGUAAGUAAUUAUAAGGUUGUGCUCUGUGAUGGAGCUGUUAAUAAAAGAUGUGGUAGCACAGGCA